GAAAUUGAUGAAAAAAAAACUGAAGGGUCUAUUUGGUCCACUGCAAUGUCGACGACCAGUGAAAAGGCGAGGAAUUUAGAAUGAUUUAGGACUUGGGUAAUUCGGGUUUUCUUUGAAAGUUCCAAAAUUGAUUAAAAUUUUACUGUCAUAACAUGGAAUCGCCGACAAAAUUUUCGUCGAUUGAACCCCACGAUCGAGUCAUACAGAGGUUAGCAGCUUUAGGGAUUCCAGUGGAGUACUUGGAUAGGCAUUACGAAGGGAUAGUUGAUUUCGUUAGUGAUAAUGGGUUGUCGCUGGAGAUAGUUUUCGCAAUCUUACCUACUGAUGAGGAAAUGGUAGAGUCUAUACAAGAUGCUAGGCUAAAGUCUAAGAAAUGGCUGUGUGUAUCUGUGGAAAACUGGUUUCGUGAGAGUUUGGUUUGGUUACAGUGGUUGAUGUUUCGAGGUGAGCCGGUGAAUGCUUUCAGAAGCCUAGCAAAAUUGAGUGUCGAUCAACGAGGUGUUUGUGCUGCGGUUUGGGGAUCAAAUGACAUUGCAUAUAGGUGCCGAACAUGUGAGGUUGAUCCAACUUGUGCUAUUUGCGUCCCUUGUUUUCAGAAUGGGAAUCAUAAAGGUCAUGAUUUUUCUAUUUUUAAAACUGGCGGUGGUUGUUGUGAUUGCGGGGAUGAAACAGCAUGGAAACACGAGGGUUUUUGCUCGAAGCAUAAAGGUGCUGAACAGAUUCAACAGCUUCCUGAGACUAUAGCGGAUUCAGUUGGGCUGGUGCUUGAUGUUCUCUUUAACUUUUGGAGAAACAAGCUAUUCUUAGCAGAAGGUAUCUUCGAAGGGACAACGAGAGAGAGUGAUAGUGGCAAUGAGCAGGGGAAAGCUGCUAAUGAGCUAACUUACGUAGUCGUUGAGAUGCUUUUAGACUUUUGCAAUAAGAGUGAGAGUUUGCUGAGUUUUGUGUCGAAGAGGAUGAUUUCCUUAGAUGGUUUAUUGGGUAUUCUGAUCAGAGCUGAGAGGUUUAUAGGUGAUGGUGUUGUGAAGAAACUCCAUGAACUGCUGCUGAAAUUGCUCGCAGAGCCUAUCUUCAAAAAUGAAUUUUCUAAAGUAUUUUUAAGCUAUUACCCUACUGUUAUAAAUGAAGCCAUAAAAGAUGGCAGUGGUAGCAUUCUCAAGAGCAAGUACCCUCUAAUCUCAACUUUCUCUGCCCAAAUAUUCACAGUGCCAACCCUAACUGCUCGUCUUGUGAAGGAGAUGGACCUACUAGGUGUGCUACUGAAAUGCCUGGGCAACAUUUUUAUUUCUUGUUCUCAGAAAGAUGGCCAUUUGAAGGUUACUAAGUUGGGAAGUUUGUAUUAUACCACUUUCCUUGUAGUUGAACAUAUUCGGUUUGUUAUGAGCCAUGAUGUAGUCUCCAAAUAUGCAACCCAUGAGCAGCAGGACAUUGUAAGAACUUGGCUAAAGCUUUUAGCUUUUGUGCAAGGGAUAAACCUUAUAAAGAGGGAAACUAACCUCCAUAUAGAAGAAGAAAAUGAUUCCAUACAUUUGCCUUUUGUUUUAGGCAGUUUUAUUGCCAAUAUUCAUUCCCCUUUGGUGGAUGGAGCAUUUUCUGUUGCUGUAAGUGAAGGAACAAAUGUUCUUCCUUAUACUUUUAAGCAAGAUAUGGACGAUGGAGAUGGUGUAAGGCAUGCAAAAGUAGGAAGGCUAUCCCAAGAGAGUUCUGUUUGUAGUUUAACAGGAAGGAGUAUGUCAAAGGUUACUGAAGUUGAAUCUGAUUCCGUAUCUCGUCUUUCAGUACCUUCCUCUGCUAUCUGGUUAAUACAGGAGUGCUUAAGGGUUUUGGAGACUUGGUUGGAAGUCGAUGAUGGUAUCUCUGCAGCUCUUCAGAGUAUAUAUUCUCCUAAUAGUAAUGGCAUUUCUGAUAGGAAUCUUUUAGCAAAAAAAAGAAUACAAUAUGAAAUUAGAGGAGGCAAAUAUUUUGGUAAACUAACUGGUUCAAGUGAAAAUCAUUGCUCAGAAUCUUCUUCACCUGUAUAUAAUGGACAUCUAGCAAGUGACGACAUGGAGAUGGAGACAGGCACUGGCACAGGUCUAGCUGUUCUACCUGUUUUGAGUCUGUCUGAAUGGCCUGAUAUUAUUUAUGAUGUCAGUUCGCAAGAGAUAUCCGUUCACAUACCAUUACAUCGAUUACUUUCCUUGCUUCUGCAGAAUGCAUUAAAAUCAUGUUAUGGUGAAUCUGUAAUGCCAAAUAUAACAAAUUCUUCUUGUUCUCCAAGUUUGUUGUCACCAACUUAUCCAGAUUUCUUUGGUCACAUCCUUGGGGGCUGCCAUCCUUUUGGAUUCUCUGCCUCAGUUAUGGAGCAUCCCUUGCGGAUCAGGGUGUUUUGUUCUCAAUUUUUAUCUGGAAUGUGGCUGAAGAAUGGGGAUGCUGGACUAGUAUCUUACAAGUGGUAUCGCUCUUCUCGCUGGUCUGAAGAAGGUUUGGAGCUUGAUCUAUUUUUGCUGCAAUGCUGUGCUGCACUAGCUGCUCCUGAUCUCUAUGUUACGAGAAUUUUAGAACGAUUUGGGCUAUUAAACUACCUUUCUCUAAAUCUUGAAAGAUCAAAUGAGUAUGAGCCAAUUCUUGUAAAGGAAAUGCUCACUCUGAUCAUGCAAAUUUUACAAGAAAGGCGAUUCAGUGGACACAGUAUAGCUGACAGUCUGAAAAGAGAGUUCAUUUAUAAGUUAGCAAUUGGAGAUGCCACUCACAGUCAACUACUGAAAUCUCUACCUUGUGAGCUCUCUAAGUUUGAUCAGCUUCAGGAAAUUUUAGACAAAGUUGCUGCAUACUCUAAUCCAUCAGACUUAAAUCAGGGAAUGUAUUCAUUGCAUGGGGUGUAUUGGAAGGAGCUGGAUUUGUACCAUCCUCGUUGGAGCUCGAGGGAUUUGCAAGUUGCAGAAGAAAGAUACUUCCGUUUCUGUGGUGUCUCUGCAAUGACUACUCAGCUGCCUAGGUGGACAAAAAUAUAUCCUCCUCUUGAGGGAGUUGCUAGAAUUGCUACAUGCAGAGUGACACUUAAGAUUAUUCGUGCAGUGUUAUUUUAUUUUGUUUUCACUGAUAAAUGCACUGAAUCACGUGCUUCUGAUGGUAUCCUUAUGAGAGCAUUGCACUUACUGUCACUAGCAUUAGACAUUUAUUUGCAGCAGAAUGGAGCUACUGAUGUGGAACGUCAUAUUGAAGAUUCAUAUUCUAUGCCAGUUUUUGCUGUUGAGGAAAUUGGUGAAUCUUUGAACUCUGCUGCCAGCAAACAAAGUUUGUUAUCACUUCUUGUUGCUUUAAUGAGAAUGCAUCAGCAAGUGAAUCGAAAUAGCUAUUUGGAUUCUAGCAACUCUAGUUUUUCUCCUCUGGUUGAGAGCUUAUUGAAGAAGUUUGCUGAAGUUGAUUCACACUGCUUUGCCAAACUGCAACUACUUGCACCCGAAGUGGUUAGCUGUCUGUCAAAAUCUAUUCCUACUACUGAUAGUACAUCUAAUAUGCAUAAGGCGAAAGCUCGUGAAAGACAAGCGGCCAUAAUGGCUAAAAUGAAAGUUGAGCAAUCCAAAUUUCUGUCAAGCAUCACUUCAGAUGCUGAUUAUGAUUCAAAUUCCGAAGCAGAAAUGCCAAAUUCUGCUCCUGAACAUGAAACGGAAGGUGCUGUGCAACAAAGUUGCUCUCUUUGCCAUGAUCCUACUUCCAAAAAUCCUGUUUCUUUCUUGAUUCUUCUCCAGAAAUCUAGGAUUUUGAGCUUUGUUGAUAGACGUUGUCCUUCUGGAGAUCGAUGGGCAGACAAGAAGCAAGGUUCUAUUCCCACAAAUAGAGUGACUGAUCAAUCUGGAUCAAAUGGCUCUUCCAGCAGUUCAGGGUUGUCUUCUCCUCCAUUUCAGUUGACUGAAAAUUCGGUUGUUGAGUCUGGUGAUUAUGAGCAAGCACAAUGUGGUGAAGUAAAUGUCAUUCUUGAGUUUAUCAAGUCUUGGUUUCCUUCACUGAGGAGCACUCAAGCACCUUUCUCAUCUAGUUACAUGAGGGACAGUAGUGAAUAUAAUUUGGAGACACUAGAAGAAGAUAUGUGCAUACGUAUUCGUAAAGAAAUGUGUGAUACUUCAUUAAGCUCAAGCCUUAAAAAGGAUGAUGUAUCCUUUGCCAGUGGAGGUUCUCUGGGAAGCAGCAGGGAUGCUGACUGUCACGGACCUGGGAAAUACAUUGCUUCUCUUUCAAGCAAGACAAGUGAAAACUCUUUGGGUUUUGAGAACUGUAAUGGUGAUAGAGAGUUGACAGAAUCUGCUUCAAAGCCUUUUGCUUAUGAUGGACUUGGCCUGUUAGAUUGUGAUGGAAUUCAUCUUUCUUCAUGUGGACAUGCUGUUCAUCAGGAUUGUCUUGAUAGCUAUUUAUCAUCACUGAAGGAAAGGUAUGCCCGAAGAAGUUUCUUUGAGGGGGCACUUAUUUUAGAUCUUGAUAAGGGAGAGUUUCUUUGUCCAGUGUGUCGACAACUAGCGAAUGCUAUCUUGCCUGCAGUGAAUGGAAGGACCGGAAGGCAGGCUAUGAGUGUAACUGUUGAUCCACUGCCUGCUCUAGGUUCUCCAUCUGCAUCAAAUGAAGAAAUCUGUCCCCUUAUGCUUCAGCAAGGAUUAUGUCUUCUAAAAACUGCAGCAAAGGUGGUUGGGAGGCCUGAUUUCAUUAAAGCUCUUUCUCGUCAAAGAACAGAAAGUACUAGUCAGGAUCUUGAACCUAUAUCUCGAGCGCUGUAUAAAAUGAACUUUUCAAAAAACCAGGAGAUGCUCUUUGGAUCUUCAAGGUUAAGUCACACUAUAAUCAUAUGGGAUAUUCUCAAGUAUUCUCUUAUGUCAACAGAAGUUGCUGCCCGUGGUUUAAAGACUUCUAUGGCCACAAAUUAUACGCUUACUUCUCUGUAUAAGGAAUUUAAAUCUUCUAGUGAAUUUAUCUUUUCCUUGUUGCUAAGAGUUGUCCAGAACCUGAGCAAUUCUAAUUCUCUUCACGCUCUUCAAAGAUUUAGAGCUCUUCAACUGUUUGCACAGUCUAUUUGCAAUGGGAUUUUAUCUGAUUACCACAGUACCCGACAUAAAGUGGAAGAAAAUCUCCUUCGUAUCUUGAAACCUGACGAUAAGGAAGCAUUAAAUCCCGGUAUUCAGUUUUGGAAUCGGGCAGCUGAUUCUGUUCUUGCUCAUGACCCUUUCUCAUCAUUGAUGUGGGUUCUCUUCUCUCUUCCAUUCCCAUUUCUAUCAUGUGAGGAGUCCGUGUUAUCCCUUGUGCAUGUCUUCUAUGUUGUCUCCGUAAUUCAGGCUAUAAUUACAUGUCGGAUACAAGGUUAUAACGUCAAUGAGCUAAGUUCCCAACAUUGCCUAAUUACUGAUAUCUGUAACAUUCUUGGAGAAUCUGAUUUUGCUCGCUGGUAUUUCAUAUCAAAUGAAGUUGAACUUUCUUGUGAUAUUAAAGAUAUUAUUAGAAGAUUGAGUUUCCCUUACUUGCGGAGGUGUGCAUUGUUGUGGAAGAUGCUUAAAUCUUCUGUCCGAUCACCAUUCUGUGAUAGUGAUAACUUGUGGAAGCUAUCUCAUAUGAUGGAUGCAACUAAAACUACUUCAAUGGAGCUCAAUGAAGCACAAAAACUGGAGAAGAUGUUUAAGAUUCCUCCUGUAGAUGUUAUUCUUGAUAAUGAAGUCGCACGAUUGUUUGCAUUAAAAUGGUUUCGUCAUUUCCACAAUGUAUAUAGAACCAGUAGUGUCCAAAAUGUUUUCUACUGUAAUCCUGUGGUUCCUUUUAAGUUGCUGAGCCUGCCUCAUGUUUAUCAAGACCUAUUCCUAAGGUAUAUAAGUCAGUGUUGCCCUGACUGCAAAACUGUUGUUCACGAGCCUGCGUUAUGUCUGUUGUGUGGUAGAUUAUGCUCUUCAAUCUGGAAGCCAUGCUGCAGGGAGAGUGGAUGCAAAUCUCAUGCAAAGUCCUGUGGAGCUGGUAUUGGUGUAUUUCUGUUGAUAAAGAGAACAACAAUCUUGCUACAAAGAUGUGGUCGUCAAGCUCCUUGGCCGUCUCCUUAUUUGGAUGCAUUUGGUGAAGAGGAUAACGAAAUGCAUAGAGGAAAACCGCUCUACUUGAACGAGGAACGCUAUGCCGCUCUAACUAACAUGGUUGCUUCUCAUGGCCUUGAUCAGAGUUCAAAGGUUCUUGGUCAAACUACCAUUGGUACCUUCUUCGCGGUUUAGUUUGGUUACAUGUUUAAGGUGGUGGGUGAGAGCAUUUUUAUCCUUAUGUACCUUUCAUAUUAACGACCAUAAGGUGUUAGAUAUGGCUGAUUUUGCUGUUCUCUUGUUUCAUAUUCUGUUGUUAGACUCUUAAAUUGAAGAACCCGUGGCACGUAGAGUCCAAUGCCUUGACCGACAAGUCUUCAAUUGAACAUAUUCAGGCUUUAGAUCACCAUGUUGAUCGGGUACCGGUUUCAAAGGAGACAACACUAUGAGAAAACAGUUUGGUUUCUUCUAUAACUUUCCAUGUUUUUUCUUUUCAUCACCGAUAAGUAGAGCCAUAAAUUCUAAUGUAAGGCAGUUGAAAUCUUUCUCAAGUUAAAGGGCAUAUAUAUAUAUAUAUAUAUAUAUAUAACAUAUUGUAAAUAGUUCAACAUUUUCGCUUGACAGCAGCUCUCAUCUUGUGCUUAUAAAUGCGCUUUGGUUCACUUC